AUCCUAUAAAGGAAGGAUAACCAGAAAUAAUACUUUGAGAAAUAGAACAAAUAGGUUGCAGACCCAAAACACAUACCUACGAGUACAAGUUGGCAGAGGAUAAUUUAUUUAAAGAUGAAAAUGCUAGAGAUUAAACAAUUACUGAACAUGAAGCAGCUCCAAAAUAUGCAUGUAUGUUAGAUCAGUUAAGUAUGUGCACGUCACAAGAAAAAUGGGAGGUACACUCAGGCUGAACCACCCAAUAUCUACAAUGAGAAGUUUCUGAAAGGUGAUCUGCUACUACCAUAUGCAAACAUAGAUACACACAUUUACAUAGAUAUACAUGUAUACCUAUUACCAGGAUAGAUACAUACAUACAUACAUACAUAGAAAUUUACAAUAUUUAGAUGCUCACAUACAUAAAAACUAGAAUUUAUAAACUAAAAACUGCCAAAGUCAAAGAAAAUAGGAAACUUAAAUCAAACCUGUACUAUUGGCUGGGAGUUUACGACAAAUGGAACUCGUUAUGAAUGAAAUUUAGCUGUAAAUGCUUCUCACUAACUUGUCAGCCAGUAACAUGUGUUUAUUUUAAUAACAUCCGAAACUAAGUUACUCUAGCCUUUUUUUACAUAUUCUUACAUAUUAUUAGGAAAUGGUGAACCAAGUAACAACGAUAUCUUAGCACUUCCACAUGGUUGAUGAAAGCUAGGAGAAGCAUGAUUGUUUUUGUUCUUAGGACUACUAUAGAUAUAUCAUGCCAUUCUGAUGCUACUUCAAACGUUUUAAUCAAAGUUCGUCGAACCGGUACCGAGACCCAUACCGGUCGGCAACCGGUAUGGUUCAAUACUGGUUCGAACUGGAUGGAACCGUCCAAUUCCGGUUUGUUCCAGCCACAUCCUAUCAGGUUCCGGCCCCUAGGGGACCGGAACCGUUUUUCAUUGGAGAACCGACCCAGUCGGAGAGCGGAUUGGCUCGGUUCAGCAAUCCUUGGUUUUAACUGUCUGGAAAAGAUUAAUUGCUGACUAAGUUACUCGUAUGUGCCAUGCACAUAUGGCUACGUUACUCGUAUGUGUCAUGCACAUACGAAUCUUAUCCUCUUUGAUGGGAAGUACUAAUCUUAAUAUGCACAGUUAAUCAAACAAGCUUGCACCACACUCUUAACGUGCCAAUAUACGAGGUCUCUCUCUCUCUCUCUUUUUGCAAGUUAGUGUAGCGGAAUUAUUUUUUCUGAAAAAAUUGGAUCAAAAGCAUAGGCUUAACAAAAGAGCACCAGAGCAAGACUAUCUCAAAUAGCAGCAGCUCAAAAAGCAUAGCAUUACAAAAAAUCAUGUUCUAGUAAUUAACGGAGAGGAAUGGCUGAAAACUGCUAAAAGCUGCAACUCAUUUUGCAGCAAAUGCCACCAAUACUUCCACUGGUUCUAGUGUUUAUUUGAUAGGCAAAACUGUUUCUAGGUGCCCUGUCUGUACCAUGUCCGACUCCUUCUAGGAGUGAUAAGAAGUUUUAGAUAGUAUAUAAGAGAAUGUAGAGUAGUAAUUUCAAUUUCAAUUCAAGAUUUUAAAUUUGCUUAUGAUUUUGUUUUCUUCUUGUAUGCUAUAUAAACAUAACACUAUAGUACCCUAUGGAAAAAGAUUUUGAUAUUCAUUUUUUAGACGAAUAAAGUUCGAGAAUUUGGAAGUUUUUUCACCAGUUAUUUUUAUGGUUGUAGAGUUGACACUUUUUGCCCCUCCUCACUCCUAUUCUCCAUUAUUUUCUCUUUUUGCUUUAGAGAAUUUUUUGCAUUAGAUGAUAUAAGAGUGAGUCCAUUCCUUUGAUACCCGUGAAGAUAUGGAAUUUGUUCUAUAAAUAAGCAAACAAAGAAUAUUUCUAUUUCAUACUAUUGAAAAGUAACAUCAAACAUUCUACUAUAUCAAGCAUAAAUCAGAGAUUUUGGCAUUAAAGAACAAUCUGGAAGCAAAGGAGACCUUGACAAGUUAUCCUCUAUGAUAAAAAUAAUUCAAAAAAAUCAAGGAAAGAGAAAUUCCAUAAUAUUAAAUCUUUCAAAUCACUAUUGACCACGUACAAGCCUAGAAGGUUACAACACUUAAGACCUCGUUUGGAAAAGCUUUUGGAAAGCCAAAAAGCACUUUCCAUCCCUCCAAAAGAACUUUUGGAUAGUAUAGUGGUGUUUAGUAAAAAAUCUAAAAGUUGUUUCAACUUUGCCAAAAAGCUUAAAAGGUCUGGACUCAAAAAUAGAAAACUGAAAAAGUCUACUCGGGAGUUGUUCUCUGGCAAAUGUCAGAAAGUUGUUUUGGCUUUUAUGAAAUUUUUGUGGUGACCAAAAUGCUUAUGAACAAAUCUCAUAAUUAUAUUAUUAUACUAUAAAUACAGUAUAUUAUAUUAUAAAUAUAUUAUAUUAUAUUAUAAUAAUAUUAUACUAUAUAAUAGUAUUUUAAUGUGCAGUAGUACAUUAUUAUAUUGUAUUAUAUCAUAUUAUAUUAUUAUACUAUAUUAUAUAAAAUUAUAUUACAAUAUUAUAUUACAUUAUGUUGCGUUAUAAUAAUUUUAUACUAUGUAAUAAUACAUUAUUAUAUUAUAUUAUAUCAUAUUAUGUUAUAUCAUUAUGCUAUAUUAUAUAAUAUUGUAUUACACUACAUUAUAAUAAUAUUAUAUUAUGCAAUAAUAUGUAAUAUUUCAUUGUAUUAUACUCUACUGUACAAUACUAUGCAAUAUUUUUUAUUGUCGUUAGGUCAUAAUACUAAAAGCACUUUCUCAGUUUGGUUACUAAACACAUGUUAAAGUUUCCUAACACUUUAGAAAUGUAAUUACCAAACAACAAAUAACUUUUUAUAAAAACUUUACUUCCAAAAGCUCUUCUACCAACUGCAAGUCCAAACAAGGCCUUAUUAGUAUUUAGAUGAUAAACUUUAAUUUUGGUAUCUAGAUCACCUUCUUACGUUAUCCAAGAAAAAAUGUUACACAUCUCGCUUCAUGAUAAAUCUUCCAACAUGGCUAAGUACAACCUAAAAACCUUGAAGGUUGCCACAAUUUUUAGCAUUUAGAUGGUAAACUUUAGUUUUACUAUUUAACUUUUAGUGUCUAAAUCAGCUUCUUGCCAUUAUCCAAGAAGAAGGUUGCCACCAAGAAUAUCUCAAACACUACAUGGAUGUGCCGUGCAAAUUGAACAUGUCCAAUCUCAACUAUUCCAAAAAAUCGCUCGCUAUAGUAAAUUGAUUCUCAGUUUAUGCAUGUGUAUGUUCAAUUUUAGCUUACAUAUACAUUAACUUGGACCUAUAAUCUCUUUUCUCUGCAAU